AGAGUCGGCUGAACAGUCGCUGUUUUAUCGCAAGAUAAAAUGGAGGAAAGUCCGGGCUCCAUUGGGCAGGGUGCCAGGUAACGCCUGGGGGGCGCGAGCCUACGGAAAGUGCCGCAGAAAAUAUACCGCCAGCCUUCGUGGCUGGUAAGGGUGAAAAGGUGCGGUAAGAGCGCACCGCGCAACUGGUAACAGGAGCGGCAGGGUAAACCCCACCCGGAGCAAGAUCAAAUAGAGGAACAGACGCGUGGCCCGCGCGGUUCCUGGGUAGAUUGCUUGAGCUGCAAGGUGACUUGCAGCCCAGAUGAAUGGCUGUUCUAGACAGAACCCGGCUUACAGGCUGACUCUUUCU
rnacentral:RNase_P_RNA from 1 species